CCUGGUUGAUCCUGCAGUAGUCAUAUGCUUGUAUAAAAGAUUAAGCCAUGCAUAUGUAAGUAUGAACGAAUUAAGACUGUGAAACUGCGAAUUGGGACUCAUUAAAUCAGAUUUAUAUUUUGUUUGAUUGUAACUACUUCUCGGAUAACCGUAGUAACUCUAGAGCUAAUACGUGCAACAAACCCGACUUCUGGAAGCGGAUGCAUUUAUUAGAAAAAAGGUCGACGCGGGCUCUGCCCGUUGUUCUGAUGGAUUCAGGAUAACUCGACGGAUCUCAUUGCCUUAGUGCUGGCGACCCAUCAUUCAAAUUUCUUCCCUAUCAACUUUCGAUGUUAGGAUAGUGGCCUGCCAUUGUGGUAACGGGUGACGGACAAUUAGGGUUCGAUUCCGGAGAGGGAGCCUGAGAAUCGGCUACCACAUCCAAGGGAGGCAGCAGGCGCGCAAAUUACCCAAUCCUGACACGGGGAAGUAGUGACAAUAAAUAACAAUACCGGGCUCUUUGAGUCUUGUAAUUUGAAUGAGUACAAUCUAAAACCCUUAACGAGGAUCCAUGGGAGUGCAAGUCUGGUGCCACCAGCCGCGGUAAUUCCAGCUCUAAUAGCGUAUAUUUAAGUGCUUGCAGUUAAAAAGCUCGUAGUUAAACCUUGGGAUGGGUCGCACGGUCCGACUUUGGUGAGCACCGGUCCGCUUGUCUCUUCUGUCGGCGGAUACGCUCCUGGCCUUAACUGGGCGGGUCGUGCCUCCAGCGCUGUUACUUUGAAGAUAUUAGAGUGCUCAAAGCAAACCCACGCUCUGUAUACAUUAACAUUGGAUAACAUCAUAGUAUUUUGAUCCUAUUGUGAUGGCCUUCGGGAUCGGAGAAAUGAUUAACAGGGACAGUCAGGGGCAUUCGUAUUUCAUAGUCAGAGUUGAAAUUCUUGGAUUUAUGAAGUACGAACAACUGCGAAAGCAUUUACCAGAAUGUUUUCAUAAUCAAGAACGAAGUGGGGCGGGCUCGAAGACGAUCAGAUACCGUCCUAGUCUCCAACACCAUAAACGAUGACGAACAGGGAUCAGCGGAUGUUGCCUUUAGGACUCCGCUGGCACCUUAUUAGAAAUCAAAGUUUUUUGGGUUCCGGGGGGGGUAUUGUCGCAAGGCUGAAACUUAAAGGAAUUGACGGAAGGGAAACACCAGGAGUGGAGCCUGACGCUUAAUUUGACUCAACACGGGGAAACUUAACAGGUCCAGACAUACUAAGGAUUGACAGACUGAGAGCUCUUUCUUGAUUCUAUGGGUGGUCGUGCAUGGCCGUUCUUAGAUGAUGGAGCGAUUUGUCUGGUAAAUUCCGUUAACGAACGAGACCUCAGCCUGUUAACUAGCUACGUGGAGGAAUACCUUCACGGCCGGCUUGUUAGAGGGACUAUGGCCAUUUAGGCCAAGGAAGUUUGACGCAAUAACAGGUAUGUGAUACCCUUAGAUGUUAUGGGCAGCACGCGCGCUACACUGAUGUAUUCAACGAGUUCACGCCUUGGCCGGCAGGCCCGGGGAAUCUUUUAAAUUUCAUCGGGAUGGGGAUAGAUCAUUGGCAUUGUUGGUCUUCAACGAGGGAUUCCUAGUAAGCGCGAGACAUCAGCAUCGCUUUGACUACGUCCCUGCCCUAUGUACACACCGCCCGUCGCUACUACAGAUUGAAUGAUCCGGUGAAGUGUUCUGAUCGCGGCGACGUGGGGCGUUCGCCGUCUGCGACGUAGCGAGAAGUCCACUAAACCUUAUCAUUUCGAGGAAGGAGAAGUCGUAACAAAGGUUCCGUAGGUGAACCUGCGGAAG
rnacentral:rRNA from 1 species